GUGAGGAAUAUUGUGCAAUGGAGGCAACUCUGACGCAGCCAUGCCGCGUGCAGGAAGAAGGCGCUACGCGUUGUAAACUGCUUUUAACCGGGAAGAAACCCCAGGACGUGUCCUGGGUUGACGGUACCGGAGGAAUAAGCACCGGCUAACUUCGUGCCAGCAGCCGCUGUAAUACGAAGGGUGCAAGCGUUAUCCGGAUUCAUUGGGUUUAAAGGGUGCGUAGGCGGAGCGUUAAGUCAGUGGUGAAAUCCUGCAGCUUAACUGUAGACUUGCCAUUGAUACUGGCGCUCUUGAGUGCGCUUGAAGUGGGCGGAAUGUGCCGUGUAGCGGUGAAAUGCUUAGAUAUGGCACAGAACACCAAUUGCGAAGGCAGCUCACUAAGGCGAUACUGACGCUGAGGCACGAAAGCGUGGGGAUCGAACAGGAUUAGAUACCCGAGUAGUCC
rnacentral:rRNA from 1 species